rnacentral:lncRNA from 1 species
AGGGGGAGAGAGGAAAGAGAAAAUCAUCUCUCUUCUUUUUUUCUUUAUUUUUUUUCUUCUUUUCUUCUUUUCUUCUUUCUUUCCUCUUCUUCUUUCUUUUCCUGACCGAACAGAGGGACACGAGGAGGGGGGGCUCGGUGGCUCAUGCUUCGAUGAGGUAUGAUAGCAUGGCUGGAGGUCCGACAGUAGGUGAAGGCGGCGGUGGAGCCAAAGGUGGCCGACGGUGAGGCU